GGAGAGGUGACCGAGUGGUCGAAGGUGCAUGAUUGGAAAUCAUGUGUACCUGCAAGGGUACCAGGGGUUCGAAUCCCCUCCUCUCCG
rfam:Labilithrix luteola strain DSM 27648, complete genome.